rnacentral:rRNA from 1 species
GUGCCAGCCGCCGCGGUAAUACAGAGACUGCAAGCGUUAUUCGGAUUCACUGGGCGUAAAGGGUGCGCAGGCGGCCAAGUGUGUUAGGCGUGAAAGCCCGGGGCUUAACCCCGGAAUUGCACCUAAAACUACAUGGCUAGAGCAUUGGAGAGGGUAGCGGAAUUCACGGUGUAGCAGUGAAAUGCGUAGAUAUCGUGAGGAACACCAGAGGCGAAGGCGGCUACCUGGACAAUUGCUGACGCUCAGGCACGAAAGCGUGGGGAGCAAAAGGGAUUAGAUACCCUCGUAGUCC